rnacentral:rRNA from 1 species
GAGUGGCGAACGGGUGAGUAACACGUGGGUAACCUGCCCAUCAGAAGGGGAUAACACUUGGAAACAGGUGCUAAUACCGUAUAACACUAUUUUCCGCAUGGAAGAAAGUUGAAAGGCGCUUUUGCGUCACUGAUGGAUGGACCCGCGGUGCAUUAGCUAGUUGGUGAGGUAACGGCUCACCAAGGCCACGAUGCAUAGCCGACCUGAGAGGGUGAUCGGCCACACUGGGACUGAGACACGGCCCAGACUCCUACGGGAGGCAGCAGUAGGGAAUCUUCGGCAAUGGACGAAAGUCUGACCGAGCAACGCCGCGUGAGUGAAGAAGGUUUUCGGAUCGUAAAACUCUGUUGUUAGAGAAGAACAAGGAUGAGAGUAGAACGUUCAUCCCUUGACGGUAUCUAACCAGAAAGCCACGGCUAACUACGUGCCAGCAGCCGCGGUAAUACGUAGGUGGCAAGCGUUGUCCGGAUUUAUUGGGCGUAAAGCGAGCGCAGGCGGUUUCUUAAGUCUGAUGUGAAAGCCCCCGGCUCAACCGGGGAGGGUCAUUGGAAACUGGGAGACUUGAGUGCAGAAGAGGAGAGUGGAAUUCCAUGUGUAGCGGUGAAAUGCGUAGAUAUAUGGAGGAACACCAGUGGCGAAGGCGGCUCUCUGGUCUGUAACUGACGCUGAGGCUCGAAAGCGUGGGGAGCGAACAGGAUUAGAUACCCGGGUAGUCCACGCCGUAAACGAUGAGUGCUAAGUGUUGGAGGGUUUCCGCCCUUCAGU